rnacentral:lncRNA from 1 species
GUUUUUUAGCCUUUGGAUCAACUCUUUUCAUUAUUUCUAACCAUUGGAUUAAAUACUAUAACCCAGUGGGGACCACUCAACCCUAGGAGGACCACUCAACUUUAACCGACUAAUAUCAUCCUGACCCUAUAACUUUUCAUCCAAGGGUUAAAAACUUGAUAGCAAAAAAAACGUUUUACUAUUAAUAGUAUUCCAGCCUAAUUUUAUAUAUAUAUAU